rnacentral:lncRNA from 10 species
GGGGUGUCCUGGAUCUGGGCAAAAAGGGCACUUCAGGGCGCGGGGCCCCACGAGGCGAUGCCCUUGUUGGCCUGUCUUGGUAUUGCUGCCCACCUGAGCCGGGGGAGUGGGCCGUAAACUCGCAAUAUUCCUCCACCCUGCUGCCCACCACAGGAAUGCUUGCCUGUGAAAGUCAUGGGUCCCCUUUGUGUCCCAGAGUUGUUGAACAAGAUCCUGGUAUACACCAUCAUCACACCACAUGCCGGGAAGGCCGGAGGAUUCUGGGACCGGAGCUCAGGUUUUAUUUUUUAUUGAUACUAGAGAGAGGCUUAGAAGCUUUUCUAAUUCUAAGAACCUGCUUAGAAUUAUACAAACUGAAGGGGAUGGGGCUUCAAGUAUUUUCAAGAGCUUGGGGGUUGCAGGUGUUACAUGUUUGUCUGAAGAUGAAGUUAACUAGAUCACGAGGUAAGGAAGGGCAGCUUCAACUUCAGAUGGUAACUCUUAAGUAGUAUGCAAAGCCCUUAUCCACAUAGAUAGCCAAGUCUGUAGGAAAUACUGCUUGCUCUACGCUGAGCUAAGUCUCGCCAAAACCAUACGGUGAAGCCCCCACUACCUCAGAAUGGGACUGUAUCUGAGAUAGGGCCCUUACAAAGGUAAUUCAGUUUCAGUGAGGCCAUCAGGGUAGGUCCUAAUUCAAUCUGACGAGUGUCCUUAUAAGAGGAGCUUGUAACACAGACUCAGAGGACGCGGCAGGAGGAGACGGCUGCAAACCAAGGCGAGGCCUGGGGGAAACCAACCCUGUCGAAGCCUUCCUCUCGGGCUUCCAGCUCCUCGGACAGUGAGGAAAUCUGUCUCUACUGUGUAAGCCCCCCAGACAGAGGGCUUUGCUGUGGCAUCCAGCCCUGACUAGUGCACUGCCCUGGUGGAUUUUCUGCAUGUUCCUGAUACAGCUGACAGACAAGUGGAUGAUGACAGGGCUUUUUCAUUAUGGAGUCUCAUGAGAUGCUGCGGGCACAGCACACAGGACACUCUCCAUCAGCAUUAGGGACCGACACAACCAUCGCAAUGACAACCCUUCUCUUACUGCUCACGGGAGAACGCAUGACCCAAGGUCCAAGGUCCAAGGCCUGUGCUGGGCAAGUUAUAAAUCAAAUCCACAAAUCUUCACUGGGCUCCUACAAUACCAUACCAGGAACAGUUUAACUCUGGCCCCCCCCAGAGCUGGAUAUCCAGCAACUCCCACUGCUUUGGCACCAACAGCAACUUCUCAGCCCUUCG